rnacentral:rRNA from 1 species
GAAGAGAGAGUUCAAGAGUACGUGAAACCGUCUGGGAGUAAACGGGUGGUUCCCGAAAGUGCGAAAGGGGAGAUUCAGUCUCGCCGCGUGCCGGGCCGCGCCCGCGAAAAGGGAUGGUGUUCUCGCGGCCAAGGGGCGACCCUUGGUCCGGGANNNUCGCCACCCCGCGGGUGCGGUCCUCCCGGUGCCGGAGCGACGCACUUCUCCCCCGGUAGAACGUCGCGAUCCGUCGGUCGCCGGCCUAAGGUCCCUGGUGGAGCCUGCGCGGUUCGCCGCGCAUGACCCAGGGGUUUCCGGCCGUGUGCCCGACGGUAUGAAGAGAGGAAGGAGUUGGCGCGCCUCUUGUAGGCGUCCGCCCCUCCGCAAGCGCCCGCGGGAGUCGGGAGUCCGGGCCCGGCCCGGCUUCCUUCUUCAGCGGGGCUGUUUGCGAUCAGGAGGUGUGCUCGGAC